CUUCACUUUUGUUUCUUAACUAUUUUUUAUUUUCCUUAGUAUAGUCCUUUGUGGUACGGAGGCUGGCAGCUGCCUUGUAUGCCACUUUCUCAUCAAAAAGAAAUGGAUGUUAUCUUUGUGGGCUAUAGCUAGUGUUGGUUUGUUUGUGGUUUUUUUUUUUUUUUUUAAAUUUGGUAUGAAGAAUAGCAAAAUGGUGAUGUGGUCUACACUUUGAACAGCUUCUACUUGCUGAAUGAUAUCCUUGGACAAGGAGAGAGGAAGAUCUGUUCCCUAGCAUCAUGUCAAGGAAGGUGAAGCAUAAGUCACUGUUAUGGACCCAAUUUCAGGUUUUAGGUGUCUCUGUGGUAUUUUGCUGUACUUUGAAACGUGGUAUUCUCUGGGAAUAACUCCAUAUUUUUGGAAACUGUGCAUACGAUCCUCCCUCAAAAAUUACCUUCAGGUAUUUAGCUUUCUGAAUUUUUUGUUAUCCUAAGGUUUUGAUUUUAAUGUUACACCGUAGCUUUUGUGAGUGUCUUUUUCCAGUAUGAACUAUUUUUGCGUAAUUUGCAUCCGCUGUUUUUAUAGAGUUAGAUGAUACAGAAGGACAGUAACAGAAGAUCUUUGAAACAAAGACUAUUUUGCAUGACUGCUACUGCUGUUCAUGGUGGUAUCAGCAAGGAUGCAGCCUUAAAGGAAAACAAAGGAGAGGGGAAACUUGUUUGACACUUUUAGAUCACAAACUUGCAUGGACAUCCAAGUAACUUCUACAAAUAAGAGCAGGGUGCUGCUGAGCCUGCCUUUUUGGAAAAGUGCUUAAAUAAGUACUGGAUUCUGAAUGCAGUGUUACCACUGAAUUCCCUUAGAUUUCCUGCUUUUCUGAAGUUGGACAUAUGUCUCUGUUAUAAAGAAAUGACGCUUGAAGAACAAUUCCUUUGAAAGUCACUGGGAAAAGAAAAGUUACCUUUCAGCAGCCUUUUGUAAGGUAUUGUUUAAAGCAAAUUCGAGUCACUGAA
ensembl:lncRNA